rnacentral:rRNA from 1 species
GACAGGGGUGCCAAGCGUUAGGCGGAAUCACUGGGCUUAAAGCGUGUGUAGGCGGACUCCUAAGUACUUUGUGAAAUCCCACGGCUCAACCGUGGAACUGCUUGGUAUACUGGGAGUCUUGAGCCAGCUAGGGGCUACCGGAACAAAUGGUGGAGCGGUGAAAUGCGUAGAUAUCAUGUGGAACGCCAAUGGUGAAAACAGGUAGCUGGGGCUGUGCUGACGCUGAGACACGAAAGCCAGGGGAGCGAACGG